AAAGUCCAUAAAGCCAGUUUUGGAAUGGAAAUUUUGCAGAAUGCUUGGUCAUAUAGAGCAGAACUGUCCUAAAAAUAGACCAGAAAUAUCCACUGGUAACGCCUACGUAAGAAAAGAAAGCCUUCACGAGGGCGCGAAGAUAGUCAGGAAUGGCCGACUGUAAUCUACGGAAAAGUACCGGCCCCAAAAUGAGACCACUGUAGCGUUUUAUUUUUCUAUUUCUUAUGUUCACUAACGCUCCAUUGAUAUUUCAUUAAUUUCAAUAAUUAUAUUAAUAAUUUCAGUCAACUUCUUUUAUCGAUAUUUCUUUAAAUUCACACUGUCAAUGACACAUUACUACUGUAACGCAUCACUCUCCUGGUUUUAUUAUUCAUGCUUUCUGUUGACGGUCCGUCACCCUUUUGGUUGGUCUUAAUUAAUGUUUUCUCUGAUUGGAUUGACAUUGACAGCUCAGGCGAGAGGUGGAGUCGUUACUUAUUUAGUCGGUACUGCAUCCAUUUUUCGAGGACUUGUUCCCGUGUUGCAGGUAGAAGGUCAGUUUUUUUAUUUCUGAAGUUUGUGAAGCAGGAAGUGGCCAAUAUGGCUUAUAAUUUAUAGUCCUUAAUCUUGUUCCUUUAGGGAACUGUUUAUUUCAUAAUUCUGGUGCAGGAUGCCCAAGAUUUUAAUGGAUAGAUAAUGAAACUUAACAAGGGUUUUACUUUUCCGUUUUCCUCUUUGUUCUUCUUCAAUUGUUGAUGGCUGCAGGAUUUUUGAUUUCCCCGGGAAAUUGCUGGAAGCGGUGGAGCUGGAGCCAGAGUUAGAGAUUCCCAGUCCCGAUAGCUAAGGUUCAAAUGGCAUACAUUUACAGCCUCGAUUUUGAAGGUUAACCGUUCAUUUCUUGGAGGAUUAUACAGGACAGUUUAUUCCAUUUAUUUAAAUAUUACUAACCAUAGAUUUUUCUCACUUAUUUAAAUUUUUACUAAUAUAUCUUUAAUUUCAAUUUAUUGCUACAAAUAUUUAAUCAAUAUCAUAUUUUAAUAUGUCAAAUUCUUAUCUAUAAUUUUAGUUAUUUUUUGUUCAGUAUUUUUCAGUACCUUUUUUGGUGGUUAAGUAGAUAUAACUCGGUUAAGGCCGAUAUGCCUUAGGUAAAAAGGUUCAUGAAUUUUCCCCUACGUAAUACAAAUAUUUACUAAAAACUUUAAUAAUUGCAAUUUAUUUUUCAAGUGCUGAAAUCUAUUUAAUAGUGAAAUCAUAAUUUAAAUGUUACUUUUGACAAACUUAUUUUAAUCAUAUCAACAUUAUUCAUAUUUUAAUUCGUAAUAAAUUAUUAACAUUUAACAGAUUAGAACAUGAGGUGUAUAUUAUCUUUGAUGUAAAUAUAAUUUGGUUGUAUUGUUAAUAUAUUUUUUUUUGCCUCUUUAAAUCUACUUUAUCCAGGGUCAUUUAAUUGUUAAUUGAAACCUAUAUACCAAGUGUUUUUCUUAGUUUUCUUUCAUUUAUAAAAAAAAAACUAAGUGGCGCCCUCUUAUUUAAUAGUUAUAAUCAAGAUUAUAUUUUUUAAUAGCCAGUCAUAAGUGAACCUUCGAACAAUGCCAAGCCUCCAAUAAUUCUGAGCUACCGUCUGCAAACUCUUGGCAAAAUAGCAACACUGUAAAGUUUACGCCACACCACAUGGUGCCAAAAGCAACCCUAGGCUGGGACGUGAUAAGAAUACUAAUGAGCCUUCGAACUUUGGUGAGAUUCCCACCAUAGUUCGACACACAUCUGUUAUCCAACUGCUUGGACAAACUUUAGAUCUGCUAGAAUGUAUUUUAAAAAGGAAAAGCUUAGUAGUCUGGAAUAUAUAUUUGUCGUGAG